UACAGAGGGUGCAAGCGUUGUUCGGAUUUACUGGGCGUAAAGCGUGCGUAGGCUGUAUUGAGAGUCGCGGGUGAAAUCCCAGGGCUUAACCCUGGAACUGCCUGCGAGACCUCAGUACUAGAGUAUGAGAGGGGAUUGUGGAAUUCCUGGUGUAGCGGUGAAAUGCGUAGAGAUCAGGAGGAACACCGGUGGCGAAGGCGGCAAUCUGGCUCAUAACUGACGCUCAGGCACGAAAGCGUGGGUAGCAAACAGG
rnacentral:rRNA from 1 species